AAAUGAAUUGACGGGGGCCCGCACAAGCGGUGGAGUAUGUGGUUUAAUUCGAUGCAACGCGCAGAACCUUACCUGGCCUUGACAUGUCGCGAAUCCUGCAGAGAUGCGGGAGUGCCUUCGGGAAUGCGAACACAGGUGCUGCAUGGCUGUCGUCAGCUCGUGUCGUGAGAUGUUGGGUUAAGUCCCGCAACGAGCGCAACCCUUGUCCUUAGUUGCCAGCACUUCGGGUGGGAACUCUAAGGAGACCGCCGGUGACAAACCGGAGGAAGGUGGGGAUGACGUCAAGUCCUCAUGGCCCUUAUGGCCAGGGCUACACACGUACUACAAUGGGGCGUACAGAGGGUUGCGAAGCCGCGAGGUGGAGCCAAUCCCAUAAAACGCUUCUCAGUCCGGAUCGAAGUCUGCAACUCGACUUCGUGAAGUCGGAAUCGCUAGUAAUCGCGGAUCAGAACGCCGCGGUGAAUACGUUCCCGGGCCUUGUACACACCGCCCGU
rnacentral:rRNA from 1 species